AGAGCGUACGGUGGAUGUCUUGGCAUAUAGAGCAGAAGAAGGACGCAGAAAACGGCGAAACGCCUCGGGGAGUCGUACACAGACAACGAUCCGGGGGUAUCCGAAUGGGGAAACCCAGUCAUGCGGAAAUGCGUGGCUAUCCACAACUGAAUACAUAGGUUGCGAGAAGAAAACCCAGGGAAUUGAAACAUCUCAGUACCUGGAGGAGAAGAAAACAAAAGUGAUUCCGAAAGUAGUGGCGAGCGAAAUCGGAAGAGCCCAAACCAGUCUUGAACUGGGGUAGUAGGACCAGAAAAAGCAACAUCUGAGAGAUAGUCGAAUGAGAUUGAAAGCUCAGUCAGAGAAGGUGCAAACCCUGUAGACGAAAUUUCGAAGAGUGCGACUGGAAUCCUGAGUACGUCGGGGCACGUGGAACCCUGACGGAAGCAACCGGGACCAUCCGGUAAGGCUAAAUACUCCUAUAUGACCGAUAGUGAACCAGUACCAUGAGGGAAAGAUGAAAAGAACCGCGGGAGCGGAGUGAAAUAGAACCUGAAACCGUAUGCUUACAAAAAGUCAGAGCACAUUAAAGUGUGAUGGCGUGCCUUUUGUAGAAUGAACCGGCGAGUUAUCUUAUCGUGCGAGGUUAAGUAGACAAUACGGAGCCGAAGCGAAAGCGAAUCUUAAGAGGGUGGCAAGUACGAUGAGAUAGACCCGAAGCCGUAGUGAUCUAGUCAUGAGCAGGUUGAAGGCUGGGUGAAUCCAGCUGGAGGACCGAACCGACCCCCGUUGAAACGUUGGCGGAUGACUUGUGACUAGCGGAGAAAUUCCAAUCGAACACGGCGAUAGCUGGUUCUCCCCGAAAUAGCUUUAGGGCUAGCGUUGAACGAAUCUACCCGGAGGUAGAGCACUGAAAAUAUGCGGGCGGCACCUAGCCGUACCAAAUGUUAUCAAACUCCGAAUGCCGGGCAAGAAUAUUCAGCAGUCAGACUGUGGGUGAUAAGGUCCAUGGUCAAAAGGGAAACAGCCCAGAUCAUCAGAUAAGGUCCCAGAAUCUACGCCAAGUGGAAAAGGAUGUGGAGACGCGCAAACAGCUAGGAGGUUAGCUCAGAAGCAGCUAUCCUUGAAAGAGUGCGUAACAGCUCACUAGUCGAGUAUCUCUGCGCCGAAAAUUAACCGGGGCUAAGCGUAGUACCGAAUCUAUGGAUUUGUGCAGAAAUGUAUAAGUGGUAGGGGAGCGUUCCAAACAGCAUAGAAGGCAUACCGUAAGGAGUGCUGGAGCGUUUGGAAGUGAGAAUGCCGGUGUGAGUAGCGAGAUGCAGGUGAGAAUCCUGCACACCGAUAGACCAAGGUUUCCAGGGGAAGGUUCGUCCGCCCUGGGUAAGUCGGGACCUAAGACGAGGCAGAAAUGCGUAGCCGAUGGACAACUGGUUUAUAUUCCAGUACCCGCGAUACAACUGAAGGAGUGACGGAAAAGGUUACCUCGAGCCCUUAAUGGAUUGGGCAGGACAGAGAGGAGCAGGCAGCAGGCAAAUCCGCUGCAGGAUGCAGAGCUCUGGACCGAAUGAACGAGCGAUCAAGUAGUGAAGAGAGAGAUACCAGUUCCCGAGAAAAGCUUCUAAGGCUAAUUGUAUAGCGGCCCGUACCAAAACCGACACAGGUGGUCAAGGCGAGUAGCCUGAGGUGAGCGAGAGAACUGUUGCCAAGGAACUCGGCAAACUGACCCCGUACGUUAGCAAUAAGGGGUGCUCGAAAGAGCCGCAGUGAAUAGGCCCUAGCAACUGUUUAACUAAAACAUAGCUCUCUGCCAAGCCGCAAGGCGAAGUAUAGGGGGUGACACCUGCCCGGUGCUGGAAGGUCAAGGGGAUUUGUCAGCGCAAGCGAAGCAUUGAACCGAAGCCCCAGUGAACGGCGGCCGUAACUAUAACGGUCCUAAGGUAGCGAAAUUCCUUGUCAGGUAAGUUCUGACCCGCACGAAAGGUGUAAUGAUUUGGGCACUGUCUCGGCAGCAGACUCGGUGAAAUCUUAGUACCUGUGAAGAUGCAGGUUACCCGCAACUAGACGGAAAGACCCCAUGGAGCUUUACUGCAGUCUGCUAUUGAGUUUCGGUUGGAUAUGCACAGGAUAGGUGGGAGACGAUGAGACGUGGAUUUCGGUCUACGAGGAGUCACUGUUGGGAUACCA
rnacentral:rRNA from 1 species